CCUACGGGAGGCUGCAGUGGGGAAUAUUGCGCAAUGGGCGAAAGCCUGACGCAGCGACGCCGCGUGAGGGAUGAAGGUCUUCGGAUCGUAAACCUCUGGCAGCAGGGAAGAACGGUGACGGAGCUAAGCAGCAGUGAAUUGACGGUACCAGCAAAGGAAGCACCGGCUAACUCCGGGCCAGCAGCCGCGGUAAUACGGACGGUGCGAGCGUUAAUCGGAAUUACUGGGCGUAAAGCGCGCGUAGGCGGUAUGUCAAGUCAAGGGUGAACUCCCCGCGCUCAACGUGGGAACUGCCUUUGAAACUGGCAAUCUGGAGUGUGUGAGAGGUUAGUGGACUUCCUGGUGU
rnacentral:rRNA from 1 species